rnacentral:rRNA from 1 species
ACAGGUGGUGGCAUGGUUGUCGUCAGCUCGUGUCGUGAGAUGUGGUUAAGUCCGCAACGAGCGCAACCCCUAUUGUUAGUUGCCAUCAUUCAGUUGGGCACUCUAGCGAGACUGCCGGUAAUAAACCGGAGGAAGGUGGGGAUGACGUCAAAUCAUCAUGCCCCUUAUGACCUGGGCUACACACGUGCUACAAUAGUUGGUACAACGAGUUGCGAGUCGGUGACGGCGAGCUAAUCUCUUAAAGCCAAUCUCAGUUCGGAUUGUAGGCUGCAACUCGCCUACAUGAAGUCGGAAUCGCUAGUAAUCGCGGAUCAGCACGCCGCGGUGAAUACGUUCCCGGGCCUU